CCUUUCGAGCCUUUUCGUUGCCGCCAAACUUUGAAACAACAAAGGAGACUUUUCGCUGCUCCGCGACGUUUUCAACAUGUCCGCCACCCCCAAGAGGCCGUGCCCCGACCCCACGGAGAGACGGCUCCGCCGGGUAGCAGUCGAGGGGAACAUCGCGGCAGGAAAGUCUACGUUCGUGCGGCUGUUGGAGCAGCAGAGCUCGGACUGGGAGGUGGUGCCCGAGCCCAUCGCCAGGUGGUGCAACGUGCACACGAGAGGAGGCGACUUCGAGGAGCUGACCACCUCUCAGACGAGUGGAGGCAACGUGCUGCAGAUGAUGUACCAGAAGCCCGAGCGGUGGGCCUACACCUUCCAGAGCUACGCCUGCAUCAGCCGCGUGCGGGCGCAGAUGAGGUCGGCCAACGGGAAACUCCGAGAGGCCGAGGACCCCGUGCAGUUCUUCGAGCGGUCCAUCUACAGCGACAGGUACAUCUUUGCUGCCAACCUCUAUGAGAGCGAGUGCCUGAACGAGACGGAGUGGUCCAUCUACGAGGACUGGCACGGCUGGCUGCACAGCCAGUUCGGGAAGCACCUCGAGCUGGACGGCAUCAUCUACCUCCGAGCUCCACCGGAGAGGUGUAUGGAGCGGUUGCACCUGAGGGGCAGAGAAGAGGAGAAGGACAUCCCGCUGGAGUACCUGGAGAAUCUCCACCUCAAGCACGAGAGCUGGCUGCAGCACAAGACGAUGAAGUGAGCCUCCGACACCGCGAGGAAGCGGCUCCGGAUGGAGUUCCAGUACCUCAGAGAUCUGCCGGUUUUGACCAUCGACGCAAACGAAGACUUUCAGGGGAAUAAAAGCAAGAGCGGCGACAUGAUCGAGAAGGUGAAGGAGUUCCUGAGCACGCUGUGAAGAUCACGGCUUCACAGCAGGGAACGCCGCAUGGAGUGUACAUUUUAUAACCUUAAAUUGAUUAUUAUAUUUCUACGAAGUACAAUCGUCACGGAUGAGCUGACUUUCUGAGGAUUCUGCUUCUUUCUUUCUUUUAAACACACUUUGAACUGUUAUUAAUUGUUACAUUAUAUGAUGUUUUUGAAUGUGUCUGUCGGUCCUCACGAAUGACAAUAAACUUGAAAUGCUCGCUUAA